UACGGAGGGCGCUAGCGUUGUUCGGAAUUACUGGGCGUAAAGCGCGCGUAGGCGGCUUUGUAAGUUAGAGGUGAAAGCCCGGGGCUCAACCCCGGAACUGCCUUUAAGACUGCAUCGCUUGAAUCCGGGAGAGGUGAGUGGAAUUCCGAGUGUAGAGGUGAAAUUCGUAGAUAUUCGGAAGAACACCAGUGGCGAAGGCGGCUCACUGGACCGGCAUUGACGCUGAGGUGCGAAAGCGUGGGGAGCAAACAGG
rnacentral:rRNA from 1 species